AGCCUUGUAGUGUUUAACACAUCAGAUUGCAAAUCUGAAAAUGCGGGCUAGUUGCCUGCCGGGGCUU
rnacentral:tRNA from 1 species